GUGGGGGUGUGGUAAGUCUGUGUGCUCCAUCAAGGGAGGUGACGGGUGUAGCUGAUUCCCCAUGGGAACUGGCUGGAACAGUGGACACAGUUGCUCCCUUAGAAGAAGCACCAGGCAGAGGUACUUCCUCUGGCAAUGCAGAAGGCACAGGCGCUCUCUUAGGGGAUGUGGUGGGUACAGGUACUUCUCUGGGGGAUGCACAGGACAUAGGUGCUUCCUCAGUGGACCUGGACGGUACAGGUGCUUCCACAGGGGGUGCAGCAGGCACAGGGGCUCCCUUGGAGGACCUGUUCAGAAGAGGUGCUCCCACUUCAGUAGACCCAGCGGGUACAGAUGCUCUCUCAGGGGACCUGGCCAGACGAGUUGCUCCCUCAGCGGAGGUGGUGAGUAAAGAUGCCUCCUUGGGGUAUGCAGUAGGCACAGAUGCAUUUAGAGGUGACCUGGCUGGAACAGGUGCUUCCUCCAAGGACGCUGCAGGCACAUGUGCUGCCUCAGAGGAUCUGGCUGGAAGAGGUGCUCCCUGUUGGGACCCAUUGGCAGCAGUUACUCCUUGCAGGGUUCUGGCCAGAACAGGUGCUUCCUCGGGGGAUGCAACAGGCACAGGUGCUUGCUCAGGGGAUGCUGGGGGUAUAGGUCGUCCCAUGAGUUGCCUUAAAGGCAAAGAUGUUAAGAUGGAUUUCCUUGUCAGAUACUGCCUCAUAUUUUCAGGGAUCCUCAGUUUCUGCCUCAGUGGGGGCCUAGCUGGCACAGGUGCUUCCUUUUGGGACCCGUCAGGAACAGUUGCUCCUUGCAGGUUCCUGGAAAGCACAGGCACUUCCCAUUGAGACUCGUCCGGAACAGUUGGUCCUUGAAGGUUCCUGGAAAGCACAGGCAUUUCCCAUUGAGACUUGUCCGGAACAGUUGGUACUUUUGUGGUCCUGGAAGACACAGGCACUUCCUGUUGGGACCCGUUGGGAACAACUGGUCCUUUUAGGAUCCUGGAAGGCACAGGCACUUCCUGUGUGGAGCUGACAGGAACAGGUGCUCCUUGUGGGGCCUCUAUUUCCUGGUCUAUAGGGAGGUCCCCACACUCAACCUUCUCACAUGAGGAGCGUAAAUGGUCUUCGAUCUCCAUCACUGCCCACCACCGCCCAGCAAGGAGGGCUGUGAUGAGCUCCUCAUGCUCAUCAAAGGGGAUGAGGGUUUCUGUUUUUUGGAUAAGCAUCUUUGAUGGAAUUAAGACAAGUUAUCCAAAAAAAGUGUAUAAUUUCAAACGUUUUUUAAACAAUUAACUGUAUCUGUGAAACACUGUAAGAGAAAGAGAGAGAAGAGGUGAACAAAUAAAAGCAGGUUCAUUUUUUUAAGACUAGGCUAUGCCUACAGGAUGCAAAGGAGGAUGAGUCUUUGCAAAAAAUGUAUUAAAAAUGUUCACAGCAACUAAGCAGAUUAACUUGUGUUGUAAUAAUUGUACCAAUGAAUAUGCAUAACAGAGAUGCAUAUAUUGUGAGCCAUAUAAUGUAAAAACACAUAAUUUUUCUUAUAUACGCGGUUGUCUAUAGGCUAUAAGUUUUAUUUUUUUCUUUAUUAUUAUAUUAAUUACUUGUUAUAGCACUUAUAUUUAAUUGCUCUUUUGUUGUUUUUGAUUGCUUCCAUUGUCCUCAUUUGUAAGUCGCUUUGGAUAAAAGCGUCUGCUAAAUGACUAAAUAU
ensembl:lncRNA